rnacentral:rRNA from 1 species
UACAGAGGGGGCAAGCGUUGUUCGGAAUUACUGGGCGUAAAGGGCGCGUAGGCGGCCGCCUAAGUCAGACGUGAAAUCCCCAAGCUUAACUUGGGAACUGCGUCUGAUACUGGGUGGCUUGAGUUCGGGAGAGGAAUGUGGAAUUCCAGGUGUAGCGGUGAAAUGCGUAGAUAUCUGGAGGAACACCGGUGGCGAAGGCGGCAUUCUGGACCGAAACUGACGCUGAGGCGCGAAAGCCAGGGGAGCAAACGGG